GGAGUAGGUUAAAGGAAAAGAAGGCUCCAAGAUCUCAGAUAGGCAGAAAACUUAUUCUCCUUCUUAAACUCUUUCAAACAGAAUGUUUUUUUUUUUUUUUUUUUCAAACCAAGUCUCUUACAGGGCUAGUUAGCUUUUAAAAAUAUGGCUGUAUCAACUUUUUUUUUAUUUUUAAAUUUCUUUCUUUCUUUUUCUUUUUUCUUUUUUAAUCGGCAUCUAAAUCUGUAUGUGCACUUGAAUUUGCUUCUUGUUGAAACUAAACUUCUUGACCAGUCCACCUUGAAAUCUCCAACAAGACUCAAGGCCAAAGGUGGCUUUCCUAAGUGUAUUAAUAUUUGUUAUCUUGUGGGAACCAACGGUGAGUGGUUUAGGAGAGGAGCUAGUGGGAUAUCACCUGAUAUUUCUCAGAUGGAGCUCAAUGAAUAAGCUUUCUUCUGCUACCUUCUCCUGCCAAGCAUGUGUCUGAACCCUGCAGCGUGCUGGAUGCCCCCACCUCCCCAGAACCAGCAUGGUGGGGAUGUUCUAGCUGUUGGUCUCCAGCCUCAGCUGAAAGAUAUGAAUGCCAACUCUGAUUGUGGAGUUAGACGUCUGGAUGCAGAGUUGGGAUGGAGACCUUCCUGCUCAGGCAUGGGGCUCACCUAAGGGCAGAAGGAAUGUCAGCUGCGUGGACUUGUGGGUCAGUAGUUUCCCAUUUAGAGCUGAAUGGAAGAGGAAAGCCUUUGAGCAGGAAUUGCUUCGUGUGAGAACUGAUAAGAGCUUCCAGGAAUGGGAGAAAGAAUUGAAAAAGAUGUAAUGGAAAGGCCUCUAGGAUUUUGUGAUCAUUUGAAAACCUGGUGACCUACUGUAAAGUGGCAUUUUUUUUUAGGAGGAAGAAUAUUUGUUUGAUUUUUGAAAGCAUUUAACAAAAAUGGGAACACUCUAAACCAUAUUUUUAAUCCUCCUAAUGAUAUUUGCAUGAUUCAGUAGAGUUUAUUUAUCCCUCUGCACUCUAUGCCUCAGUUUACAACUCUAAAUGUAUAAUUAUUUACAUACACAAUCUUCCAGUUAAAAAUGUUUGAAAUAUAGUUGACCUUUUUAAAAAUGUGAGAUAGUAAAUGGAGGAACUUGCUUGCUUUGUUUUCUGAUUCCAGGACACUUAGAAUAUGCUUUAGUGCUAUUUCUGUACUCUGCCUCAUGAAGUCUGGAAGUGAUCUUAAAAUGAAAGUUGGAAUGCUAACACAUGGAAAAAGUAAUACUGUGGCACUCCAAUAAAAUU
rnacentral:lncRNA from 7 species